UAUUAUUAAAAAUGUAAAUAUAAAUACUAAAGUAGUAAUAGUUAUGUUCUUGAAACUUAAAAAAUUUGGCGGUAUUUUAGUCUAUCCAGAGGAACCUGUUUUUUAAUCGAUAAUCCACGAUGGACCUUACUUAAGUUUGUAAUCAGUUUAUAUACCGUCGUUAUCAGAAUAUUUUAUAAGAAAAAUAAUAUUCAAUAGUUUUUAUAAAAAAUUAUAUCAGAUCAAGGUGUAGCUUAUAUUUAAGUAAUAAUGGGUUACAAUAAAUUUAUUUAUACGGAUAAAAUAAUGAAAAAGUUUUUGAAGGUGGAUUUGGUAGUAAAAUUAUAAAGAUUAAUAAUUUGAUUUUAGCUCUAAAAUAUGUACACAUCGCCCGUCGCUCUUAUUAUUAAGGUAAGAUAAGUCGUAACAUAGUAGAUGUACUGGAAAGUGUAUCUAGAAUGA
rnacentral:rRNA from 1 species